CCUACGGGAGGCAGCAGUGGGGAAUAUUGCACAAUGGGGGAAACCCUGAUGCAACGACGCCGCGUGAGUGAGGAAGUAUUUCGGUAUGUAAAGCUCUAUCAGCAGGGAAGAAAAUGAUGGUACCUGACUAAGAAGCCCGGGUAAAUAAGUGCCAGCAGCCGCGGUAAUACGGAGGGGGCAAGCGUUAUCCGGAUUUACUGGGGGUAAAGGGAGCGUAGACGGCUAAUCAAGUCAGAAGUGAAAACCCAGGGCUCAACUUUGGGACUGCUUUUGAAACUGAGUAGCUAGAGUGCAGGGGAGGUAAGCGGAAUUCCUAGUGUAGCGGUGAAAUGCGUAGAUAUUAGGAGGAACACCAGUGGCGAAGGCGGCUUACUGGACUGUAACUGACGUUGAGGCUCGAAAGCGUGGGGAGCAAACAGGAUUAGAUACCCCAGUAGUC
rnacentral:rRNA from 1 species